UACGUAGGGUGCAAGCGUUGUCCGGAAUUAUUGGGCGUAAAGAGCUCGUAGGCGGUCUGUCGCGUCGGCUGUGAAAUCCCGGAGCUCAACUCCGGGCCUGCAGUCGAUACGGGCAGACUGGAGUUCGGCAGGGGAGACUGGAAUUCCUGGUGUAGCGGUGAAAUGCGCAGAUAUCAGGAGGAACACCGGUGGCGAAGGCGGGACUCUGGGCCGAUACUGACGCUGAGGAGCGAAAGCGUGGGGAGCAAACAGG
rnacentral:rRNA from 1 species